AAGAAGCUCAGGCUUCCAGUUCCCUGAUCUGCAGCCAUGGUGAGAGGCAGUAGUCGGAUGGAUUUUGUGCGCCUGGCAGGAUAAUCUAUUCUUAAUGAAGGAAGGAACAAGACCAAUUGGAGGAAACUUGUGCACUCGCCCCGGAGAAGUCUGAAGAGUAUGGAGACAUGAAAACUGAGAGAAAGAGGGGGGAUUGUGAGAACUGGGCAGCAGCAAGAGGCAAUGUCAGAAAAGCAUUCUCCAGGCAGUGGCCACCUUCAGCCUUUGCCACCACAGCAUGUUUCUCCUCUUCAUGUCCUGAUUCACCCUUAACCACCUGGUGCCUCAACUUUAUACAUUUCCGGUUCCUUUUUUUUGUUUGUUUAAAAAAGAAGACUAAAGUGGAUUAAGAAAUUAAAUUUAAAACGCCCUAUUUCUUGCCUUUAUAUUGCAUCAUCAAAAGAAUAAUUAUAAUUUUGUUUCUAGCAACAUUUGAAGGCAAUCUUUCUUCAGUCCUGAAAAAAUGUGAGGGGAGAGGUUCCUAAAAACCUAGCUCAGUUCUUGAGUCCAUUUCCUAAAGACAAAU
rnacentral:lncRNA from 1 species